ensembl:lncRNA PPP1R3B-DT PPP1R3B divergent transcript
GAGGGAAGAAUCAUGGGAAAGAGUAGAGACGGGGUUCCACCGUGUUAGCCAGGAUGGUCUCGAUCUCCUGACCUCGUCAUCCUCCCGCCUUGGCCUCCCAAAGUGCUGGGAUUACAGGCUUGAGCCACCGCGCCCCGCUCUUUCGUGUUCCAAAGGCUUUUUAAAUAAACUUCCACUCCUGUCCUGGAUUCUGCUUUAUGGCCCUCAGUCGAAUUCUUUCUUCUGAGGAGGCAAGGACUGAAGUUGCUUCUGACCAGUACAGGUACGCCGCAGGUAACUUGGAUCUCUUCCACCGCUAAUAGUUUCUUAAUCUGUAAAAUGAGAUAAUGUGUGUAUUGCAUUAGCCCAUUCAUUGUGUGGGUUUAAUGAGAUGAUGUACGUAAAGCCCUGAGCAUAGUGCCUGGAAUAUAGGAAGUCCUUAGUAAAUGUUAAUUGCUGCAUUUUCAUUAUUACUACAUCUUCCACACCCCAGGGAUCCCUUG